UACGUAGGGUGCAAGCGUUAAUCGGAAUUACUGGGCGUAAAGCGUGCGCAGGCGGUAUGUAAGACAGUUGUGAAAUCCCCGGGCUCAACCUGGGAACUGCAUCUGUGACUGCAUAGCUAGAGUACGGUAGAGGGGGAUGGAAUUCCGCGUGUAGCAGCGAAAUGCGUAGAUAUGCGGAGGAACACCGAUGGCGAAGGCAAUCCCCUGGACCUGUACUGACGCUCAUGCACGAAAGCGUGGGGAGCAAACAGG
rnacentral:rRNA from 1 species